UUAUCUUGUGGCUCUUGCAAUGAUGUGAAUUUCUUACUGAAUUAAUCCUUGAAGUGCAAAUACAUGAGCUUUUUAACCCUGAGC
ensembl:snoRNA